rnacentral:SRP_RNA from 1 species
GCGCGGGUCCUGCGCAGCGGGACACCACGAACCGGGUCAGGUCCGGAAGGAAGCAGCCCUAAGUGGCUUGUUCCGGGUGCCGCAGGGGUGCCUGGCUCAU